rnacentral:rRNA from 1 species
AAACUUAAAUGAAUUGACGGGGCCCGCACAAGCAGCGGAGCGUGUGGUUUAAUUCGAUGCAACACGAAGAACCUUACCAGGGCUUGACAUGUUAGAAGUAGGAACCCGAAAGGGGACGACCAGUAUCCAAUCUGGAGCUAACACAGGUGCUGCAUGGCUGUCGUCAGCUCGUGCCGUGAGGUGUAUGGUUAAGUCCCACAACGAGCGCAACCCUCGUCGCUAGUUAAUUUCCCUAGCGAGACCGCCUCGCAAAACGAGGAGGAAGCGGGGAUGGCGUCAAGUCAGCAUGGCCUUUAUACCCUGGGCGACACACACGCUACAAUGGGUGGUACAGUAGGUAGCGAAGGAGCGAUCCGGAGCAAAUCCUUAAAACCAUCCUCAGUACGGAUUGCAGGCUGAAACCCGCCUGCAUGAAGCCGGAGUUGCUAGUAACCGCAUAUCAGCAUGGUGCGGUGAAUACGUUCUCGGGCCUU